rnacentral:rRNA from 1 species
GACGUAGGGGGCGAGCGUUGUCCGGAUUUAUUGGGCGUAAAGAGCGCGCAGGCGGUUUGGUAAGUCGGAUGUGAAAACCCGGAGCUCAACUCCGGGCGUGCAUCCGAUACUGCCCGGCUAGAGGUAGGUAGGGGAGAUCGGAAUUCCUGGUGUAGCGGUGGAAUGCGCAGAUAUCAGGAGGAACACCAGUGGCGAAGGCGGAUCUCUGGGCCUUACCUGACGCUCAGGCGCGAAAGUGUGGGGAGCGAACAGG